rnacentral:rRNA from 1 species
GAUGAACGCUGGCGGCGUGCCUAAUACAUGCAAGUCGAGCGAACAGAUAAGGAGCUUGCUCCUUUGACGUUAGCGGCGGACGGGUGAGUAACACGUGGGUAACCUACCUAUAAGACUGGAAUAACUCCGGGAAACCGGGGCUAAUGCCGGAUAACAUUUAGAACCGCAUGGUUCUAAAGUGAAAGAUGGUUUUCCUAUCACUUAUAGAUGGACCCGCGCCGUAUUAGCUAGUUGGUAAGGUAACGGCUUACCAAGGCAACGAUACGUAGCCGACCUGAGAGGGUGAUCGGCCACACUGGAACUGAGACACGGUCCAGACUCCUACGGGAGGCAGCAGUAGGGAAUCUUCCGCAAUGGGCGAAAGCCUGACGGAGCAACGCCGCGUGAGUGAUGAAGGUCUUCGGAUCGUAAAACUCUGUUAUUAGGGAAGAACAAAUGUGUAAGUAACUGUGCACGUCUUGACGGUACCUAAUCAGAAAGCCACGGCUAACUACGUG